GACGAACCGUGCGAACGUUGUUCGGAAUCACUGGGCUUAAAGGGCGCGUAGGCGGGCGACCAAGUCCGGGGUGAAAUCCUCCAGCUUAACUGGAGAAGUGCCUCGGAUACUGGUUGUCUUGAGGAGGGUAGGGGCAUCUGGAACUAGCGGUGGAGCGGUGAAAUGCGUUGAUAUCGCUAGGAACUCCGGUGGCGAAGGCGAGGUGCUGGACGCUUUCUGACGCUGAGGCGCGAAAGCCAGGGGAGCGAACGGG
rnacentral:rRNA from 1 species